AAACUCUACAAUGCAGGCAACUGCGAUAGGGGAACAUCGAGUGGCUGUCAUAUUGAUAGUCUGUCCAUCCGCCUAAAAAGCGGGUGUUAGCAAGGGCCGGGCAAGACCGGUGCCAGCCGCCGCGGUAAUACCGGCGGCUCGAGUGGUGGCCGAUAUUAUUGAGUCUAAAGGGUCCGUAGCCGGCUUCGCAAGUCUCUCGGGAAAUCCAGCGGCUUAACCGUUGGGCUGUCGGGGGGUACUACGUUGCUUGGGACUGGGAGAGGUAGGAGGUACUCAGGGGGUAGGAGUGAAAUCCUGUAAUCCUCUGGGGACCACCGGUGGCGAAGGCGUCCUACCAGAACAGGUCCGACGGUGAGGGACGAAAGCUAGGGGCACGAACCGG
rnacentral:rRNA from 1 species